UGCCAGCAGCCGCGGUAAUACGGAGGGUGCAAGCGUUGUUCGGAAUCACUGGGCGUAAAGAGUGCGUAGGCGGAUCGAUAAGCAAAUCGUUAAAGGUAUAGGCUCAACCUAUGUAUAGCGGUUUGAACUGUCGGUCUAGAGUGAAAGAGAGGCAGGCGGAAUUCCUGGUGUAGAGGUGAAAUUCGUAGAUAUCAGGAGGAACACCGGCGGCGAAGGCGGCCUGCUGGCUUUUAACUGACGCUGAGGCACGAAAGCGUGGGUAGCGAACGGGAUUAGAUA
rnacentral:rRNA from 1 species